ACCUAAAACACAAAACGGUCAGGCAAG
rnacentral:sRNA from 1 species